rnacentral:rRNA from 1 species
UACGUGUGAGGCGAGCGUUAUUCGUCUUUAAUGGGUCUAAGGGGUACGUAGGCGGUAUAUAUAAUCUUUUUUAUGUUUCACCUGUGCGUGGAUUUGAUAUUUUAUAUACUAGAGUUUGAAGGGAGUAACAAACACGACAAGAGUAGUGUAUCAAUACUAAUAUACUUGAGGGGGUUGCAUAGCGGCGAAGGCGUGUUACUAUGUAAGACUGACGCUGAGGUACGAAGGCAUGGGUAUCGAUCGGGG